rnacentral:lncRNA from 1 species
CACGAGAUUAACAGCAGCACUUCCUCCUCCUUGCCUCCUCCUCCAUCUCACAGCUCUUUUGAUGCAUUGAGUGACAUCGUACCCCAAAAGCAGCGGCAAGGAUCAAGCGAGAGGGGCACCGAAUGGGGCCAAGUAUGCCAAAAUCCUGCUGACUGCUGCCACUGCCAUUCUUGAAGGGUAUGGUGGCAGGUUGCUGAUAUGUUUAGCCAGGGUCCUUUGGUCAGUAAGGCGCUUGUCUUCCCCUAAGGAUGCAUUCCUGUCAACAAGGUGGCUCAUUGGCAUUCUGCUGUGAAGAUGGAAGAAAUCUGCCUGUAGCAACACAGCAAUGGCAAGGUCAAAGGCUCAUUGUGGUAUCUUUGGCUGAGAGAGACCCUCUAUGCUUUCCUGCUUAAUUUCUGUGUGCCUGCAGACUAGUCACCUGGUCUCUGCUCCCCAUGCGACAAGUGAGGAGGAUAAUUCUCUCUACCCCAACAGGUGAGUCAUGAAGAUCAUAGUAUGAGACACUUAGUGAUAUGUACUGUGCAA